UACGUAGGGUGCGAGCGUUGUCCGGAAUUAUUGGGCGUAAAGAGCUUGUAGGCGGUUUGUCGCGUCUGCCGUGAAAUUUCGAGGCUCAACCUCGAACUUGCGGUGGGUACGGGCAGACUAGAGUGUGGUAGGGGAGACUGGAAUUCCUGGUGUAGCGGUGAAAUGCGCAGAUAUCAGGAGGAACACCGAUGGCGAAGGCAGGUCUCUGGGCCAACUACUG
rnacentral:rRNA from 1 species